ACCUUGUCGAGGGGGUUGGACCGCGUGUCGGGGUUCAGGUUGCCUGGUGCUGGUAGCUAGCGCUGUGCGCUGCGGGUCGCGGCGCAGGUCAACGACUGCUGGUUCCUAUUCUAUUGUGAUAAACCUACAUGCGUCCUGUUGUGAUGUCACAGCCACUAUAGAACUCCAUUGGAGCUUCUACCAUCUAUCUAACCAGUUAUGAAACUUGGGAUAAAGAAACAAGUCUCUUUUCUUGGGAGGAAGAGAAAGAAAAACUGUUGAAAGGCAGCUGGAUAGUCAUGGCUAGUUUCCUCUUGCAGUUCUUCCUAUGCAUCUUACUCUUGACCUGCAUCAAGCCCUAUUGGAUCUCAGCCAGCAACCGCCAUUGAUACCAAAAUGGGUAUUUUUGUGAUAGCCUUUCAGACAGGACUAAACAGACGACUGCAUUCAGUUCUCUCAUGACCAGUCUAAGUUUAGAGUUCAAACUUCCAGUUAUGAAAAGCUAUUCAUGAAAACUCACUGUGCUUAGGCCAGAUAUUCAGCUGUUGUGAAUUGGCCUCACUGACUUCAAUGGAGCUACCUCCAUUGACACCAGCUAAUGUUGUGGUCCCUUGAGUUGUGCUAAUAAAUAAACUUAUUCAGUUAGUAGCAUAACUUUACACAAUGCUUUUGAU